AAUUUACUAGUUUAAUAAAAACAAUGAUUUUGUAAAUCAUAUAUAGAAAAUUUUCUGUAAAUUA
rnacentral:tRNA from 1 species